AUUCUUCUUGCACAUAUACUAAAAUUUGAACGAUACCAGAGAAGAUUAGCAUGGCCCCUGCGCCAGGAUGACAGCCUGUAAAAAUUAAGUAACACACUGUAAAUAAUUUUA